GAAGAAGGAGAAGAAAGAAGUGGCUCAUUCAUGCGGCCUAAACAAACCGUAGACUUGUCUUGUGAGGCCUUAAGCUGCCAACCAGAGAACUGGAAGAAGCGACAGCCUGCGAGGGAGCAGUUAGCAUCAGAGCUAACUGAGAAGCUAACGGCCAGAGAAGUUUCCUGUUAGAGGAAAAGGGAAAAAGUGACUUCUUAUUGAGAACACUGGACACUUAUUGGACUCUGGGCUGUUUUGAGGCUUUUCUCCGAGGAACAAAAGCGAGUCUGACGGUAAGAAGAUGAAUUUAACAACAAUUUAACCAGACCUCUCAGCUUUUAAUGAAAACUAAGAGAUUAUGUUAAUUUUCGCCGGUGGGGGAGUGAAACACGUGAA